AUCCUAGCUUCCGCUGGACAUAUACUAAAAUUAGAACGGUACAAAGAAGCUUAGCAUGGUCACUGCUCAAAGAUAAAGAUAAUUUUCAGGUUAAAACAUGCUAUU